rnacentral:rRNA from 1 species
AUUGAACGCUGGCGGCAUGCUUUACACAUGCAAGUCGAACGGCAGCGCGGGCUUCGGCCUGGCGGCGAGUGGCGAACGGGUGAGUAAUACAUCGGAACGUGCCCAGUAGUGGGGGAUAGCUCGGCGAAAGCCGGAUUAAUACCGCAUACGACCUGAGGGUGAAAGCGGGGGAUCUUCGGACCUCGCGCUAUUGGAGCGGCCGAUGGCAGAUUAGCUAGUUGGUGGGGUAAAGGCCUACCAAGGCGACGAUCUGUAGCUGGUCUGAGAGGACGACCAGCCACACUGGGACUGAGACACGGCCCAGACUCCUACGGGAGGCAGCAGUGGGGAAUUUUGGACAAUGGGCGAAAGCCUGAUCCAGCAAUGCCGCGUGUGUGAUGAAGGCCUUCGGGUUGUAAAGCACUUUUGGCGGGAACGAAAAGGACUGUGCCAAUACCACGGUUCGAUGACGGUACCCGCAAAAUAAGCACCGGCUAACUACGUG